AUGAUGCACAUUUAUCAUUUACAUGGUCACAAACAUUUCUGGGUGGAUGCGAGCGCAUGUCUCGUAGGCCAUACGACAUCUAUCUUUACACCGACAACUUUAUGGUUCGGCCGGCAUGCUGAAAAGCAAAAACUCUUUUGCUUCUUGUUGCAGCACAGACCUGCUGGUGAUGCACCAGCCAUUCUUCCGAUCAUAGGUGGUGCCAAAGUUGGGAAGAAAAGUUUGGUUGCUCAUGUGUGUGGCGACGAAAGGGUUCGCUCGUGCUUCUCUUCUGUUUUGCACUUGAGUGUUAUUGAGUUUGGUUCUGAUGUAAGUGAUGAUGACUGGAAAAACUUCCACUCAUUUCUCUUAACAAUGGGCAGAGGAAGCCAUAUCAUCAUCAUAAGUAGAAUUCAAAGUUAG
rnacentral:rRNA from 1 species